UGAAUUUUACAUGUUGGAAGUGUCUAAUUGUUAUGAAAUUUUAAAUGGGAGGUCCUUAAAUAGUAAUUAAACUAUUGUAUAAUUUUUUGGAAAAAAAAUAGUUUAGGUUGGAUAAAUUUUGAAAGAAUAGUAAAAAAGGUAUUUUGGUUAUGUAGGGGUAAAAUGAAUUAAAAGAUAAAUUUUAAACCCUAAAUGUGUUUUUUUUUCUUGCUACAGUAGGAUGUACCAAGAGCAGUCAUGGGUAAGGUUUGGCCAAGCUUUCAAGCUUAAUAUGUUUUCAGGUUAACUCGGGGUUGGAGAUCGUCGGAGGCAGCAUCACACUAUCAAGCCAACACCUUAACAGUAUAAACACAUAUGUUAGAAUUAUCAAAUGAGUGGCAUGUAUAGGGCCCUAGUUUUAUAACAUGUGUUAUUAUAAUUUGGCUAUAUAUAUUGGUCUUUAGUGAGCUAAUGAUUCUGACUUAUAAAUCUAGCGAUUCAUGUUAUGUCUGAUAUUGGUGAUGUGCAUAUGCUUGUUUGCCAUGCAUGAUUGGUAAUAUGUUAUGUGUUGUAAGAAUGCCAUGCUUGUGAAUAUAUAAUUACUCAAAUAUGCCAUGUUAAUUGCUAUGAAAAUGUAUAAGUGUAUGUAGGUAAUUAAGGGUGACAAUUGGCUUGGAAAAUAGCUUUAAAAUUGACCACACGGCCCAAUCCACACGGGUGUGUGACUCUCCGAAGCAAGAAAAUUAGUUAAGUUGCCCAAAAAUUUUUAAAGUUCUUGGUUUAGUCCCGAAUCACCCUAAUGUAUGUUAUAGGUUUCGAAUACCUAUAUAAGGGACGAUAUGCAUGUGUUCGAGAUGUUUUAAUUUUUGGUGAAAUUUUGUGGCUAGGUUUUGCAUGUUGUGAAUGUUUAAGUCCGUUAACGCCUCGAACUUUGUCCCGACGUUGGAUACAGGUGAAGGGUGUUACAUUUACUGGUAUCAGAGCUAUGGUUUAGUCGGUUCUCGGACUAACCUAGAAUGUGUAAAAGUUCAACUAUACAUGUUAGUUAUUCGUGAAUGAAUUGUGAUGAAAUAUGAUUGCUAUGAUGAAGCCACUUUUCAAAGGUAGUUGAGUCAAGGCCUUAUGAGCUAUCCCCUUACCAUGUUGAAUGUGAUGCUAAAAUUUUGAGAAACCAAAGAGUUUAAAGUAUAGUUAUAAGCAUGAUUAAACUUGGAAUGGGUUCACGAAUGAGGAUUCAUGAAAUGUGUACAUGGUGAAAUGAGCUUAUCUAUGAUUAAUAGAUAAUUCCAUGAUGUAUAUGAUCGAUUUAUUUGAACAAAUGCAUGUGUUUGAGUAACUUAUCAAAAAUAUUGAUAAGAUGAAUAUUCAUGUAUAUUAGUUGGGAUGAUUAUUAUUGGUAAGCUCAUAUAACUUGAGUAAAUGUAUUAAAUUGCUUGGACUGAUUGAUUUUAGGGUAAUGAUAUGUAUAUGAUGAUGUGUAAGAUGAAAGUUUAGACUGUGAUUCUAUUUCUAUUUCUAUUUCAAAUUUUACCCAAACAAA